rnacentral:lncRNA from 1 species
AUUAGGAACAAGCGGGUUAUUUAAUAAUAAUAAUAAUACAUCCAAUCUUUUUAAAUCGCCUAUGAAUAAUAACCCCAAUACUAACAUAAACAGUAACCCAUCAAAUUUAAUGUCAAACAGUUUAUUUAAUAAUAACAACAACUCGUUUAAUAAUACUAUAACUGCUAAUACGACGAAUAAUAAUAAUAAUAAUAAUAUUAUGAAUAGUGGCCUAUUUUCAAGUUUUAAUACUUCAAAUAAUAAUAAAACUAACAUAUUUCCAUGUAUGAAUAAUAAUACUAAUCCUAAUGCUACUGUUCAAAAAAAUAAUAGUAAUAAUAAUAGUUUAUUUUCAUCUGGUGGUCUUAACAGUUUUAAUUCUUCUACUGCACCAAGAAGUGGCAUAUUUGGAACGGCUUCAAAUACUAAUCAAAUGUCAAAUAGUAAUUUAUUUACUACGAAUAAUCAGAAUAACAUAAAUAAGCCAUCAAAUAAUCUAUUUACGUCUACUAGCAACACUGGAAACACUGGUAACAUUUUUGGUAGUAAGGUUAAUUAUGGUACACAAGGUAGCAAUACAAAUACGAACAAUUCUACUUUGUUUGGAAUGAAUAACACUCUAAAUAAUAAUACCUCGUCUUCUCUUUUUUCGGGAAAUAAACCUAUUAAUAACUUUUUAAAUAACAAUAAUAACAAUACUAAUAAGAAUACAAAUUUAUUUAAUACAAACAAUUCAAAUUUUAACAGUUUUUCCCAAAAUAAUAGUUCAUUUAACACAAACAGUACAGUUAACAAUAAUAAUAGUUUAUUUAAAACAGGUUUUAAUUCUACUAACAAUAGUAACAAUAAUACUAUUGGUACUACUAGUAGUAGUUUGUUUUCAAGUUGUAAUAAUAAUAAUAGUAGUAGUGGUAACUUAUUUUCAAGUGGAAUUAAUAAAAAUGUUGUCAGUAAUAGUAAUAGUAAUUUAUUUUCAAAUACACAAAACAUUACAAAUAAUAACUUGUUCAGUAGUUUUUCUUCUAACAACAUAAAUAGUACUAAUAAUAAUAGUAAGACUAAUAAUAACAUUUUUAAUACAACAAAUAAUCUACUUAAUUCAAAUAAUAACCUAUUUCAAAUAAACUCGAAUUUAAUGAACAAUAGCACAAACACAAACAACAAUAACAGUUUAUUCGCAGCAAAUAAUACUAGCACACAAAAAAAUAAUAUGACAUCUUCAUUUAUGUUCCCUAAUAAUAACAUAAGUACCAACAACGUUAAUAAUAAUAGCAAACAAACAAAUAAUGUAUUUAAUAAUAGUUUAUUUUCAGGUUUAAAUAAUACCAAUAAUAAUAAUAACAGCUUAGCUAAUUCAAAUAAUUCUAUAAAUAAUUUAAAUGCGUCUAAUAACUACUUAUUUCAAAAAAAUGCCUUAACAGCGUAUAAUGGAAAUAAAGAACCCCAAUCAAGUUUUAAUUCGAAUUCAUCAAGUAAGUUCAGUUUGUUAAACAAUAAUACUACUAGUGGUACUAACACAUUUGGUGGUUCUACUGGUAGUACUAGCAUUUUUGGUUCUACUACUGGUGCUACUAACACAUUUGGCAGUACUACUAGUGGGACUAGCAUUUUUGGAUCUGCUGCUAGCACUGCUACGAAUAAUAACAUCUUGCAACAAAAAAGCCCAUCCACUAUGUCACAAAUGUAUAAACCCUCGAAUACCAACUCUAUAUUUUCAAGGUAAUUUAACUAAGUCAUCAUUAUUAUUAUCAUUACUAUUAUUGUUAUAAAAAAAAAAAAAAAAAAAAAAAUGAUGUGGCUGGUUACUAAGACAAAAAUCAAAAGGUUUAUAUUUUUUUUUUUUUUUUUUUUUUUUUUACCUCAUUAAUUACAGUAGCUAUUGUUAAUGUAUGCAUGUACUAAAUUUUAUGCAUAUACGUAACCAUACACAUGGGCACUUAUAUAUAUUCAUAUAUACAUACACACUUUUUUUUACCUUAAGAUACAAUAACACCUAUUUGUUUUCAUAGAAGGAAAGGAUACCAAUUCAUCAUUAUUAAAAAGAUAAUUUAUAUAAAAUUUUAUUAUGUUUAUAUUUUUGUUUUUUUUUAACACUAUAAUAUGUCAUAAGUAUGAAAAAUUUUGUCUGUCUUUAUCAAAGCUGAAGCAGUAAUUUUAUGUUAUUUAUUUUACC